rnacentral:rRNA from 1 species
GACGAACGCUGGCGGCGGGCUUAACACAUGCAAGUCGAACGGAAAGGCCCUGCUUUUGUGGGGUGCUCGAGUGGCGAACGGGUGAGUAACACGUGAGUAACCUGCCCUUGACUUUGGGAUAACUUCAGGAAACUGGGGCUAAUACCGGAUAGGAGCUCCUGCUGCAUGGUGGGGGUUGGAAAUUUUCGGCGGUUGGGGAUGGACUCGCGGCUUAUGAGCUUGUGGGUGGGGUAGUGGCUUACCAAGGCUUUGACGGGUAGCCGGCCUGUGAGGGUGAACGGCCACAUUGGGACUGAGAUACGGCCCAGACUCCUACGGGAGGCAGCAGUGGGAAAUAUUGCACAAUGGGCGGAAGCCUGAUGAAGCAACGCCGCGUGCGGGAUGACGGCCUUCGGGUUGUAAACCGCUUUCGCCUGUGACGAAGCGUGAGUGACGGUAAUGGGUAAAGAAGCACCGGCUAACUACGUG